UCCUUGGAGGCUCAGACAGUAAAGAAUCUGCCUACAAAGCAGUAGACCUAGGUUUGAUCCCUAGCUGGGGAG
rnacentral:tRNA from 1 species